rnacentral:lncRNA from 1 species
ACUGCAAUGUUAUUCUUUUUUAUCAGGUUUUGACGAUUUGGUGCUGACACCUGGUUCAUUAUAAUCUGUGUUUCAGUGUCGUGGUCAUGCUUUAAACUGGGAAACUGUAUGGAUUAGAGUGUGAGGUCCAGUGCCCAGUUCUGUGUGAAGAAGACAUCAGGAUGGACCCUCAGAACUUCAGCAGUGGAGAAGGACUCCCUGACUCAGAACUGCAGACAUUCAGAGCAGAACAUCCAGAGCCCAGCUGUGUGUCUAUGAAGAGCAACCACUCGAUGUAUGAGCCUCCUAAAUUCACUAAUGAAAGAAGCAGUGCUGACUUUAGGUGAGAUCUUAAUACAAUGUGAACACAACAGGCCUUUAUAGCACAGAGUGAAGUAUAAAAAUGAGGAGAGUGCAGAUAAACUAAACCGAG